rnacentral:rRNA from 1 species
AGUGAACGCUGGCGGUAGGCCUAACACAUGCAAGUCGAACGGCAGCACAGUAAGCGCUUGCUCUUACGGGUGGCGGUUGGCGGACGGGUGAGGAAUACAUCGGAAUCUACUUUUUCGUGGGGGAUAACGUAGCGAAACUUACGCUAAUACCGCAUACGACCUACGGGUGAAAUCCGGGGAUCUUCGCACCUUGCGCGAUUGAAUGAGCCGAUGCCGGAUUAGCUAGUUUGCGGGGUAAGGGCCCACCAAGGCGACGAUCCGUAGCUGGCCUGAGCGCAUGUAGACCCACACUGGAACUGAGACACGGUCCACACUCCUACGGGAGGCAGCAGUGGGGAAUAUUCGACAAUGGGCGCAAGCCUGACCCAGCCAUACCGCGCGAGUGAUGAAGGCCCUCGGUGUGUAAAGCCCUUUUCUUGGGAAAGAAAAGCAGCAGCAUAAUCCCCCGCUGUUCUGACGGUACCCAAAGAAUAAGCACCGGCUAACUUCGUG